UCUGGUGUCUCUUGCCGCGAGGGUACACCUCUUCCCAUUCCGAACAGAGCCGUUAAGCUCGCGCACGCCGAUGGUACCUCGCACUUUUUUCGCAACUUUUUCCCGAGUUGUGCAAAGAGUGCGGGGGAGAGUAGGUCGAUGCCAGGU
rnacentral:rRNA from 1 species